rnacentral:rRNA from 1 species
UACGGGGGGGGCAAGCGUUGUUCGGAAUUACUGGGCGUAAAGGGCUCGUAGGCGGCCAACUAAGUCGGACGUGAAAUCCCUCGGCUUAACCGGGGAACUGCGUCCGAUACUGGAUGGCUUGAGUUCGGGAGAGGGAUGCGGAACUCCAGGUGUAGCGGUGAAAUGCGUAGAUAUCUGGAGGAACACCGGUGGCGAAGGCGGCAUCCUGGACCGACACUGACGCUGAGGAGCGAAAGCCAGGGGAGCAAACGGG